ensembl:misc_RNA 7SK 7SK RNA
GGAUGUGAGGGCGAUGCGGCUGCAGUAUCUGUCACCCCAUUAAUUGCCAAGGUCGAUUCAGCCGAUCUGGCCGGCUGGGUGGGUGUCCCCUUCUCCCUCACUGCUCCACGUACGACCCUCACUAUUCACUCCCUGAAGGAGAACGACCACCCCCAGUGGAGGAGAACAGUUUCUUUGGUCACGGGUAUACAAGUUGCUCUGCUACCCUGCUAGAACCUCCACAUAAGCUCCCAAGAAAGGAACUGAGAGGGCAUAGCUCUAAGGAGAG